CCUACGGGAGGCUGCAGUCGAGAAUCAUUCACAAUGGGGGAAACCCUGCUGGUGCGACGCCGCGUGGGGGAAUGAAGGUCUUCGGAUUGUAAACCCCUGUCAUGUGGGAGCAAAUUAAAAAGAUAGUACCACAAGAGGAAGAGACGGCUAACUCGGUGCCAGCAGCCGCGGUAAUACAGAGGUCUCAAGCGUUGUUCGGAAUCACUGGGCGUAAAGCGUGCGUAGGCUGUUUCGUAAGUCGUGUGUGAAAGGCGCGGGCUCAACCCGCGGACGGCACAUGAUACUGCGAGACUAGAGUAGUGGAGGGGGAACCGGAAUUCUCGGUGUAGCAGUGAAAUGCGUAGAUAUCGAGAGGAACACUCGUGGCGAAGGCGGGUUCCUGGACAUUAACUGACGCUGAGGCACGAAGGCCAGGGGAGCGAAAGGGAUUAGAUACCUGGGUAGUC
rnacentral:rRNA from 1 species